rnacentral:rRNA from 1 species
GAUGAACGCUGGCGGCGUGCCUAAUACAUGCAAGUCGAGCGAACAGACGAGGAGCUUGCUCCUCUGACGUUAGCGGCGGACGGGUGAGUAACACGUGGAUAACCUACCUAUAAUACUGGGAUAACUUCGGGAAACCGGAGCUAAUACCGGAUAAUAUAUUGAACCGCAUGGUUCAAUAGUGAAAGACGGUUUUGCCGUCACUUAUAGAUGGAUCCGCGCCGCAUUAGCUAGUUGGUAAGGUAACGGCUUACCAAGGCAACGAUGCGUAGCCGACCUGAGAGGGUGAUCGGCCACACUGGAACUGAGACACGGUCCAGACUCCUACGGGAGGCAGCAGUAGGGAAUCUUCGGCAAUGGGCGAAAGCCUGACGGAGCCACGCCGCGUGAGUGAUGAAGGUCUUCGGAUCGUAAAACUCUGUUAUUAGGGAAGAACAAAUGUGUAAGUAAAUAUGCACGUCUUGACGGUACCUAAUCAGAAAGCCACGGCUAACUACGUG